GCGUGAACGACGAGUAACUGCUCGCCUUGAGGAGACGCGUAUAUAAGGGAUCCGUACUGGCAACCAGGCACACACAUUGAUCCUGGUACGGAACUUCUCAUCUUCAGCAGUUGCGGAGCAUCGCACAUCUUGACACCAUGAUCAAGGUUCUGAUCCUGCUUGCCCUGCUGGCUCUCUUCGCCGUCUCGUACACGGCAGCGAAGCCGCAGUACGUUCUCACGUACGGCUACCCGUACCACUAUGGAUACUACGGUGCCUACUACCCCCACUACUUCUACGGGCGCUAAACCCGCACGAAGGCGAGGGCAGCGACAGUUCGCGGCGACUUCUUCGAAGAUGAUUCAAAACUGCUAACGCACUCAUCCACUGUCAUUGGGACCACUUCUCAAGACCUGUCUCCACCCGUCAGCAAACGAAACAUGGAGCCGCACUUAGUCACCUGAGCUGCCCUGCUCAAGCCAAUGACGUCCACCGUUCUAACGUCGGGUUCUCACUCUGGAAGGUUUGGUUUUGAAAUAAAAUCAUUCUAACCAGAUCC